ensembl:lncRNA
GAUUAACAAAAUUAUCUGGCCUCUAUUCUGGCCAUUUAUUGUCGGUGCUGCUGUUGACAAAAGCUUGGAAAGGCAGCAAACGGAGUCGCGGGUGAGGCAGAGCGAGGGUGGAGGGAGGGAGGGCGGUAAUGAGGGAAGCAUUCUUGAUGAGAAACUAACAACAAUGUAAACACAGCAGAUAAGUGCUUUCUUGGCCCGGCAGUAUUGAUCAUGAAUAGGCUUGGUGCUCAACUUUACAGGGUGAAUUGUAUUUUCCUGCUGGGUUUUGAUAGCCAGCUGUUAACACACUGCGCAAUUACUGGCUGUGAAGACGUUUUGGUUUUUUUUCUUUCUGUUUUUUUUGGUGUUGUUUGUUGUGAUGAGAGGAGGGAGGCUACGGUUAAAUGUGUAGCCUCAUUACAAAAAUGCGUGUAAGUGGAUGUGAGGCGCAAUUAAAAAGUGAAACAAAGCCUUUGUUUCAAAUCAUCGGCAAUGAAACCCGAAAUUAUCAUUAGCACCACGGGUAUGUUUGGUUGCACAAUGUUCUUGAAUCAAAUGGCUUGCUUCUGCCUUUGGUGGUGUGGCCUCUCUCUUUUUUUUUUCUUUCUAAUAUUUCCUCUCCCCCACCCCUUCUUUCUCUCCUUUUACCGGUGGACUUGACUUGCAGCUAAUUAAUUUGCAAAUUUUAUUCUCAAUAAAGUGCUUACAAAAAGAUAAUUGUGACUUUAUUAACAGUUUCUUGGGCAGCAGAUGGUGUUCUGCAGGCCUGCCAUGUUGAAUUAGUGAUGACGCUGUCGUUUUAUGCGCUCUCUACUGUGGCAACCCAUAAAACUCCUAAUUAAGGCUACAAAUUAAUACUACUUCUUCCCAACAUUAUACCCAGCCAUUUCACCCAAAAUUAGGGUAAACAAAUACAAACACAUACAGGUAAGUCUCCCAUUAGUAUGCACCCAUUCUCUGUGUACAGUUGCUGCAUUUAUGUAAGGAAUCUCUGUUAUUAUAAUCAUUUGUUCUAUAUUAAGAGCAAUUAAAUGCCUA